rnacentral:rRNA from 1 species
CCUACGGGCGGCAGCAGUGGGGAAUAUUGGGCAAUGGGCGCAAGCCUGACCCAGCAACGCCGCGUGAAGGAAGAAGGCUUUCGGGUUGUAAACUUCUUUUCUCAGGGACGAAGCAAGUGACGGUACCUGAGGAAUAAGCCACGGCUAACUACGUGCCAGCAGCCGCGGUAAUACGUAGGUGGCAAGCGUUAUCCGGAUUUACUGGGUGUAAAGGGCGUGUAGGCGGGAAAGCAAGUCAGAUGUGAAAACCAUGGGCUUAACCUGUGACCUGCAUUUGAGACUGUUUGUCUUGAGUUCGGGAGAGGCAGACGGAAGUCCUAGUGUAGCGGUGAAAUGCGUAGAUAUUAGGAGGAACACCAGUGGCUAAGGCGGUCUGCUGGACAGCAACUGACGCUGAGGCGCGAAAGCGUGGGGAGCAAACAGGAUUAGAUACCCGUGUAGUC